UACGUAGGGGGCGGAGCGUUGUCCGGAUUUAUUGGGCGUAAAGAGCGUGUAGGCGGCCAGGUAGGUCUGCUGUGAAAACUCGAGGCUUAACCUCGAGCUGUCGGCGGAAACCAUCUGGCUAGAGUCCGGAAGAGGAGAGUGGAAUUCCUGGUGUAGCGGUGAAAUGCGCAGAUAUCAGGAAGAACACCCGUGGCUAAGGCGGCUCUCUAGUACGGUACUGACGCUGAGACGCGAAAGCGUGGGGAGCGAACAGG
rnacentral:rRNA from 1 species